rnacentral:rRNA from 1 species
CUAAAAACCCAUACAUUUUAUUUUUAAGACCUCAAAUCAGGUGGGACUACCCGCUGAACUUAAGCAUAUC